AUUUAAUUAUUAUAGAUUAAUCCCUAAACUACACAAACAUUUAAAAUAUGUAAUAAAAAAUCAGCAAGUUCUUCUGUAACAAACUAGAAAUCCAUCAUUAGAUUUUUGUUUGUUUAUUUUCUAAAGUUUUGUUGACAGAAUCACAAAAGAACUUCUUUCACCUUUGAUCUCAGUUUGUCUAAAAUGAUGAGAAGAAACCCUCCAGAUGAGUAAAUGACCAUGAUUAUUAUCUCUACAUCAGACACAGAACAGAUCGCUGGACUAUUUUCCAUCAGCUUAAAAUAAAUUGUUGUUUACAUUUUAAUGUUGAUUUUAAUUAGAUUAAUGAGAUCAAUAAGAGGAAAAAUUACUGCACAUUCAUUUAAAACCAGAAAGACUAAAUUUAAACUUACUUCCAACCUCCAGUCUGGUUCCUCCACCAAACGUCCACCACAGUGAUACAAACUGGUUGAGUCGUCUUACAAAAACCUCUGAGAGACACGGCUCUGUGAGUCUGACACAAACAAACUCACCAGUUUAAGCUGAACUAAACAUUUGUCUCAUAAAGUGUAAAAGAUAUCAUUCACAUUUAAAUGUGACCAGAUGUUUGACUAAAACAAGUUUGUCUAAAACAAAAGUUUGUGGAAAUUGAUUAAAACUUUUGUAAGAAACAGAUGUUUACAAUCAGCUGUUUGUAUUUAUUUAAAUGAUAAAUGAUAAAAGCAGAAUUUUAUACACUUAAAUUACAAAAUCUAAAAUUAAACAAACUUUCUUUAAUGAAGGAAAAAUAUUUUAUUGACUCAUUAACAAGAUUCGGCAAAAUAAUCUGUCAGAUUAGAGUUUUGCUCAAAAAAGUGUCUGAUUGGUAUAGAUAGGUAGAACUUUGUGAAACAUGAAAGUAAUGUGAAAAUAAGAAACAGUGUUUAUUUUUUAACAAUUAGAAAAUUCUGGUCAUCAAUGGAAGUUCCUUUACAAAUGUUAAAAAUAAAUAAAAUACUAUAAAAUAUUUUCACAGGACAAUAAACCUAAACAUCUUGGAAAAUCUGUCCUGUAAAAUAAAUAAUAGUGAUAAAAGUAACAGAUGGGAACCGUCCUCAGACUGAGCCAUGAUCCUGCUGGAGUGAGUCAGCAGAUUUCCAUAGAGCAUGACUUUGCAUCAGCAGCACCAUGCUCCAGUGCUCUGGGAGAGUUUAUAGUCCUGAGGGUUGAAGACUGGAUGACUGACAGCUGUCCUUCAUCACAACAGAAGACUUGGAAAUCCUCCUGACCAAAACCAUGACUUUGAUCUGCGUCCUCAUCUGGACUCUCCUCUGCUUCACUCAGGGGUCUGAUGGACAACAUGUUGUGACUCAGCCAGCAGCCAGAUCAGUGCAGCUUGGUCAGACUGUCUCUGUGGACUGUAAAGUCAGUCCACCAGCAGCGUUUGCUGGUUUUCAACACUUCCGGUAUCUUUCCUGGUACCAUCAGACACCUGGAGAAGCUCCUAAACUCCUGAUUUAUUUAACAUCAAGCAGAUUUUCAGGAAUCUCCUCCAGAUUCAGUGGAAGUGGAUCAGGGAAUGGAUCUGACUUCACUCUGACCAUCAGUGGAGUUCAGGCUGAAGAUGCAGGAGUUUAUUACUGUCAGAGUUACCACCUUGGCGAUGUGUUCACACAGUGAAAAAGCAUCGUACAAAAACCUCUUUCAGUCUGACUGAACAGAAACUGAUGCAGCUCACUGAACACACUCAGGUUUUCAGGCCAUCAUGAAUUAAACUUUGUUCCUAAAUAAUCAGAAGUUUUAGAAAAAAAUGGUUUCAAAUAUUACAAUAGAAAUUAUCUUAGUGAUGAUUAUCUUAACACCAACAACAUUUUUCAAUAAUUCUUUGCCACUUAAAAGAAGCAAAAA